GAAUGUCACUUCAUCAAGUCUUGUCAUGGACAUCUCAUUGUCACGUCAUCACCUUCAAUGAUAUGACAAUGAUGUGUCAAUGAUUAGGCAUAAUGACGUGACACUUUAU
rfam:Glycine soja cultivar W05 scaffold1029_56, whole genome shotgun sequence.